rnacentral:tRNA from 1 species
CGGGGCGUAGCUCAGCUUGGUAGAGCACUUGGAUGGGGGCCAAGGGGUCGCUGGUUCAAAUCCAGUCGCCCCGACCA